CAUCUCACCCUCUGUUGCCCUCUUCUCCUUCUGCCUUCAAUCUUACCCAACAUCAGGGGCUUUUCCAAUGAGUCAGCUGUUCGCAUCAGGUGGCCAAAGUAGGUACAGGAUAGUACCUACCCAGAUUAUCUUUGUUGGCCUUUUGGGGCCAUAGAAAUUCAAUCAUUUCUUUCUCCUCUCUACCCCUGUUUACCCUGUCCAGAAGACAUAGGGCAAAGGAAUUUUCUUAAGGUCAUGCAUUAAAGGGUAAUUCCUGUGCAAUAUAUUUUUUAAUUUCCUUGAAAUUUGAAUUUAUGCUGCCACUCUUUGACUGUGGCAGAUGAUGUGGUAGGAGAUAAAGUAGGCGUUAAGGCUUAGUUGUAUGAAAGGGAGCUUUGCAAAUGUCCAUACUUAGCAGCAGGUUAAUUUGGGACUCCCAUCAGAAACCCAGGUCUUGGACACUGGAGUGAGUGUCUGAAUUGUCAUCAUGUCAGGUGACUAACUCCACAGACAUACAGGUGUUAGUUAGACCUGAAAGCUCGAUUCUAGGUGGAUCUAUAAUUUUCGAAAAGACAGGAACCUGGAAAGUUAGGGGCUUUGAGACAUCCUGAAUUAUAGUCAUUUCUUUCACUGUCUCCCUCCCAACCCCCUCUUGUCUCCGCCGCUUAUCCCCUCCACAUCACUCAAUAGAGUCCCCACAGAAUGACUAUUGUGUUAUAGAUCUAUAAGUUGUGAAUAUUUCUCAGAAAGGUUUUACUUACAAAUUUAUGAUUAGGGGCUUCCCAGGUGGCGCUAAUAGUGAUAAAGAAUCUGCCUGCCAAUACAGGAGAGUCAGGAGAUGCAGGUUCAAUCCCUGGGUCAGGAAGAUCCCCUAGAGAAGGAAAUGGCCACCCACUCCAGUAUUCUUGCCUGGGAAAUCCCAUGGACAGUGGAAUCUGAAGGGGUGCAGCCCAUGGGAACGCAAAGAAUCACCUUAUUAAUAGUGAGACUGUAAAAACACACCCUUUUUUAGUUUAACUUUGGUCUUUUGGGUUGCAAAUUUGGAGAUUUAGAGGUUUCUACAUUCAGCAAACAGGAACCUGGUGAACUACAGUCCAUAGGGUCGCAGAGUCAGACAUAGCUGAAGUGACUUAGCACAGCAUAGCACAUUCAGCAAACAUUCAUCGAAGGACUCCUGGCUGCACUAAACACAAUUAGAUGAAGCCCUUGGCCCUGAGAGAGCUCAGAAACUUGGGGAAGAUGUGCAGGUUGAUGGGCAUUUUCAGCACAGGGGGAUAAAGGCUGUGGUUGAGCAAGACUUGGGGUGGGAGCUCAAUGGAGACAAAGGAAGCAAGCCAACACUGGUAACUGAACAAUGUCUUCCGAUUUGCGGAAGUUCUCUUGCAGUCAUCUCCUCUCGACCUGGCAGUUUUCCUACCUGCAGGCUGGGACAGGGUAUUAUCCCCAUGAUGUUCAGAGGAGGAGACAGCGAGAGCUAUACUCUUUGUCAGGGGUGAGCCAGCCUUCACACUUUCAUCCCCUGAGGCUCUUUUUCCAGGCUCUUUCCAUCUUGGUUCUAUUCCUGCCCCCUCUCUCUGCCAGGCUUGCAUGGUUUCCAGAAGUGUGGUCUGGUCCAGGCCUUGCAUCCCUCAGGUGUAAAAUGAGUACAUGUUCAGGAUGACUCCUGAGACCUUGUGUCCCUUUGUGGUUACUUUUCAGUUGCAGCGUCCUAUCCACCUCUUUGAGACCCUGUGGACUGCAGCACGCCAGGCUUCCUUGUCCUUCGCCAUCUCAUGGAGCUUGCUCAAACUCAAGUCCAUUGAGUCGAUGAUGCCAUCCAAUCAUCUCAUCCUCUAUUGCCCCCUUGGCCUCCUGCCCUCAAUCUUUCCUAGCAUCAGGGUCUUUUCCAAUGAGGGUCUUUUGCACCCCUAACUGUUUAAAAUUCCAAGAACUGUUGGUUUUGUAGGCAAUCUGAGGAAGUUUGAUGUGAAAGUCCUGUUAAGUUUUUAUUCGUGUUUCGCAAAACCCUUUGUGGCAAGUUGGUCUUAAUUUAAAAAAAAAAAAAAUACCUGUUUCAAGAUGAAGACAUUGAGGAAGUAGCACCCUGUCACUUCUCUGGGGCCCCAUAGUGUCCUGGCAGGGUCAGCAUUCACGCUUCUGGUCCUGAGUUUCUGAUCUCCUAUGCCUCUCUGUGAAAUGGCUUUCCUAAUACCUCUUAACUUUUAUUUUACUUCCUUUUCUAAUGGGUAAUGUUUAAAACUCUGUUCUGUUAUUAAAUGUCCUAAGUGACUUCUUGCUCUAGAUGUUUUCAAGUAUGUGUGGGUGUGUGCCUGCGUGUGUGUACUCCAUAAUUUGUUCAUUGCUCAAAAGUGAAGCUGCACCCUGAAAGUUGGAGAGUCAAACAUUUACUUGCAGACAUAUUUUUAAAAACUUUUUUAUUUUAUAUUGGAGUAUAGCCUAUCAACAAUGUUGUGAUGGUUUCAGAUGGACAGUAAGGGAAUUCGGUCAUACAUAUACGCAUAUCCAUUGUCCCUCAAACUUCCCUCCCAUCCAGGUUGUCACAUAACACUGAGCAGAGUUCCAUAUGCUAUACAGUAGGUCCCUGUUGGCUCUCCAUUUUAAAAAUAGUAGUGUAUACGUGUCCAUCCUCAACUAUCUCCUCAACUAACUCCUCAGCUAUCUCCUCCCCCCAUUCUUCCCCUUGGCAACUGUAAGUUCAUUCUCUAACAGAUAUAUUUUAAAAUAUUGUUUUAUUUUGAAUAAAUUACCCAGAACAAUAGUAUACAUUCCAAAAUGACAUGUGUAAAUAUUUUUAAGUUUAAGCUGAUAUUUAGUGAUUGAGGAAUUUCAUAUAUAAAAGUCUGGGUUUAUGACUUUUCAUGAAAGUCAGAUCUGGCAACUUAGCCCAGAUUUCCUAUUAUGUCACCAUCAGUCUUGCCUUCUCUGGGUUCACUGUGGGCUCACCAGACCUCCUCCCCUCCUUCCUACUCCCAAGUCCUCACCACUGACAGCUCGGUGAGCCAUUUCAAUCCCUGGCUGGCCUGCUCACCUCAAGUGUUUGUACCUUAGAUAUCCCACCGACACACAAGGGAGCCUGGUGGACCUGGGGCGGACCUGCUCCGUGGCAGCUGAUGGCGAGAAGGUGUCUUUCACCUGCACUAUCAGGAUGAAGUGGGUGGAGUCAAACAGGAGGCCCAGGAGGAAAAUGCCAAUCAAUCAGGAGGAAAGCUUGGGAUUGGCGGGGUUAUUUGUCCUUUGGACAACAAGCAAGCAAACAGCAGUAACAAAUAAAAUGGGGAGACCAAGGGAGAAAGAAAAGAAGAACAAAAUAGGGUUUGUUGAAGGACAAAAUGUACCAGUGAGAGCAAACUGAAGCAAGACACGAGAUGAUGAACAUGAACAAAUUUAUUAUUAUCAUUAUUAGGCUUGCAGGAUCUCAGUUUCCUGAGCAGUGAUUGAACCCCAAGCUGUGGCAGUGAAAGCGUGGAAUCCUAACCACCAGGCAACCAGGGAAUUCUCCAUGAACAAAUUAUUAAUUUUCUUAAUUCUCAACCACAAAAUGGGCUAUCUUCCUUAAAGGGUAGUCGAGAAGAUAAGAGGCAGUGUAAUUAAAGAUGACCACAGUGCCUGGACUUUGAUAGAUGCUAGACGACAGAGUGAUAACUCACGAGUGUCAGUGUGAUGGCUUCACCACAUGCUCUAGGAAGUAAAAAAACACAUCGCUUUUUCUGGAUAAAAUUCUAUUUUUAAAUAAAACAUCUGUACUUUGGGGAGGCUUUGACAAUAAGCUUUUGAAUAUGGCAGCGUUUCUCUUCCCAGUUUCAUGGGGGCCUCCUGGUCCCACAGGUUACACAAGGCCUACAAAACAGGCACCUACUCAGUCAGGGUGACAUCUGGAAUUCCCAAAGUAAGUGACUUCCCCAGUCUCCUCACUACGGCAAGGGUUCUGGCUGAGCCCCAACCUGGGUUCAGAGUUUGGCUGUGUGUGCCCCCGACAGGGAGUCAACAGCUAUUUGAAUGGCUUUAUUUGAUGGCAGGCUGUUCACAGCUAUUCUGCUUCUCUUCCUUCCAAGCAGAUGGUAAGAUUGUACUUUCCUGUUGCCUUAAGUUCGGGCACACCCGUGACACUUUGGCUGAUGAAAUGCAUUUAGAGGUGAUUUGUGUCACAUGGAGCAGCUGCUGGGCCACAGAAGCCAGGGGAGCAUGUUAAGAUGAUCCAUCAGCUUGGUUUCCUGGGUAGCCCAGAGAGAAAAGGAGGGAUAAAAACAAGGACGGUGGAAAGAGAUAACCUUGAUGUGUAUCUAUUCUCCAUCUAGGCCCUUGACCUAGUUGGAAGGCCCCACUGGAGAAAGAAGUUGAGCUGGAAGCUGAAAGAACCCUUCUUUAGGCAGCAGCAAAUUUCCUGAUGACACCUGCAGUGGUGAAGCCGGCUUUGAGAAUCCAUUCAUUCUUCUCCAUCUGCUUAGAUCGAUGGCUCAGGCAACCCUGGGCAUCACGAUCUUGUGCACAGCAAAGCCAUCUUCCUCUUGAAAUAUAGUGCAAAAAUCUGGGACAACA